AGGUUCUCCGCUGCCGAGGUUUUGGACCAUCCUUGGGUUGCUAAUGACACUGCGAAAGAUAACAAAUUACAUGUGGCCAAGGAAUUGAACCAAUAUUUCACACGUACCAAAAAACCAAAAGAUGGUUUGGCAGUCAUAGCAUCGACUGCUCUCGAUAAGGGUCC